AAAGACCUAAGGAAUUUCAACCAAGGAACGAGCACUUCUCUGAUAAAGGAGGCUUUUGGCAGCUGGGGAUUUCUGCACAGAAGCCAUCUCUGAGACACCCCUAUGACUGGAGCUGCAAAAGGUGAUGGCAAAAGGUUUGGCACUGCACUGGCUGUAAUGCUUCUGGGGAUGUGCUGGAGGGAAGUCCUUGGCCAGGGAGAAGUGUGAAGUAACACUGGAAGAUUCUCUCGGAGGAGGACUGAAGAGGCUGUAGCAUUUCUAGUGAGUGUUUACAUCCACUUCUCCAGACAACAAGCAAACACAGAAAUGAUCAAAGGAGUUGAUACAUAUCUGAGGGACUGCCAUCCACAAUUAUCAAGACAACUAUGUGCUUUCUUCAAGGUUAGGAGAUGGACCAGAUGAAUAUAUUAGGUGGCUGAAAUCCCUGAAGCUGUGACGAAGUGUACAAGUUAUUACAAGCUUUGGUGGCUAGCUUCUUUGGCUAAUGGAUUACACAGUGAACUGCCUGAAUCUGUUACACGUCUGUGAACACUGUUUCCCUAGAUUGCAAUACCAGCCCAAUUCUUUGGUCUGCUGGAAGUCAUCCUAAGAGGUUACUUGACAUCGGCCUCAGGAAUGCCUUGUGGAACUUCAGCACUCAGCUCUUACUCCAUCAUCACAGCCUUGCAGAGAGGGGUGGAUGGCUGCAUCUGGGAGUCCAUCUAAAGUCGAACAGCCCACCACCUCAUCUUUCACCAGAGUCAGCAGGGAGCACAGGAUGUAAUUGUUGUGCAUUCUCUGAAUGGCAGCCCCCAAGAAUUCCCCCCAAGAUGAUCUAGUGAAGACCAGUGUGUGUCAGGAAGAGAAUACUUACUAGAGAUCUUAGGAAGACCCACCUGACAGGAAUGAUGGUGAGAAGUCUCGACUGUGUCCACUAGAAACAAGAACAAAUGAUGGAAAGGAGUGGAAGACAUGAACUUCCAGGACUAACAACUGCACUAUCUGCACAGAUUUCUGCUACUUGAGCUAAUAGAGUGCCACUACCAGCCACGGGUUGUCAUCCUCUGAGUAAAGCACUCCCAGAAGAGGAUUGCUGAUGGUCACUGGUGAGAAACACAAACUGAGGUUUUGCUUGUUGGCUGGGGUGACAAAAAAACUUUCUUGAGAUAUUCUUGAGAUGUCCUUUGGAGAGCUACCAAGACACUGUUAAUAAACAGCUUCCAAAAAGCUGUGUUAGAGACAGGAGGAUGUUGCUGCAGUUUCCAUGUGUCUGUGUGACCAACAGAAAAUAUGCUGUCCUGGAAUUCUUCUAGCAGUGAAUUUGCUGUUCAGCGCCAGCACCAGAGAGAGAGGCUGUGUUCCCUUCCCCUGCAGCUCUUGUGCCCAUGCUGCCUGCCUCUACAGGGAAUGAUUGGACUCUAACAACAGGUCUGGCAGAAGUUCCAGCCCAUGUCAGUGAACUGAAUAACUCUCUCUUCUGAAAUAAAAAAUCCAAUACUUUUUGUUUCUUACUGUGUCUUUAAGCCUGUUAAGCAAUGGUAUUUUCCUCACAUAGACUUUUAACAGGAAACCAAAAUUGGAUUUUUUUUAAAAAAAUGAAAGCCUUACUUUUCUUAAUUCUGAAUAUUUUUAUUCUUUCCCCCCCCCUUAUUUUUUUCUAUCUUUAAUAAAGGGAUUAAAAGAUUUGGUGUGGCUUAUGUUACCACAGGAAUAGACAAGCAUUUGAAAUCUCAAACUCUAGUCAAAACUUGUUUAGCAAUAUAGUUUUGUUACAGUGACACAGUACCUUUAAUUCAUUUGACCCUCUGGAUCUGUUUAUUCUACUCAAAUUUGACUCAGCAAAGUUAAAUCCCCUUAUAUCAUUCUGCAAGACAACUCAUUUUAUGUUUGGAUAGAAACAGCCAAAGCUGCACAAUCAACUCCCCCCAACAUGCCAGUUUGCACUAGUGUGGCUGAACGGAAAAAGAAAUUGCAGUGGCUUUAUAGAAAUGCACCUAAUUUCUAUGGGAUGCUCAGUGAAUAUCAGAACAAUAGAUGGUGUAUUAACUACUAUGUCUGCUCUUUUUCCUUGGCAUAGGUAGUAUUUUUAUGUAAGAGGAUGGCAGCCUACUCUCAUUACAUUAAGCAAAAUUCUUCAAUGGAUACCAUGAAGUAAUAUUUUUUUUUUUUACUUAUUUUUACUUGGUCUUUAGGAAACUGUGGUCUUUAGCAAGCUCUGGAACAAAAUCUAAAAAACAGGGCAUUUUUUGUGUUUGAAAUGUCUCCAUAUGAUUGCAAAUAAUAAAAUUAUGGAAAUAAUUACUCUAUAUCAUCCAAUCAGCAUGAUUUACUCUUCCCUCUUGCUAUAUACUUUUGUGUGCAGAUUUUAUUGUGUCUCUGUUUUGGUUUUAAUAUUUAUAUGUAUUUAUUAACAAGCAAAACAGAGAGCAACCAGUUUUUUAAGGAUGUACUGGAGUGAACCACUACAGGCAAGUUACAUUUAUUUCCAUGUUCAGAAUAUGGAAGGCUAGCAAGGGAUACCUCUUUGCACCUAAAUAUUUUAAGUCCAUUGGAAAAGAAUUACAGGUUGGUCAAAUAAGGUUUUUCUUAUCUUUUUUUUUUCCUUUCACCCCCAUUUUGUGUUAAGCAUUAGAACCUGUUAAAAACAGCCCAUUACCUUAUGCCUUAAAGCAGUUCUUUCCCUGUUGCAGAGAAAUCUGCUUGAAAUGUGUUCUGUCUUUAUGAUCUCCAGGCUCUAGCCUGGCCAAACAGAUGGAGUGUUUCUACCUGGGCUGUCACUUUGUUUUCCUCUUCUCUCCAUGAGCUAAACCUUGCUCCCUAUGCAACCUGAGGGGAAGGACUUUUAACACAACAUAGAACAACAUCCUUGGCUGAGCAGGUUCCAGAGAGAGCCCAAAAGCUCUCGGUACUCUUCGGUUCCAAUACACCAGCUCUCAUGGAACCCAAAGUGUAGGUGCACAUCUGCCUUGUUUCCUUCCACUGCUUGAUUACAGCAUUUCCAGCCUCUGCCAAGAUGGUGAUGGCCACAGGACUGCAGCCUGAAGAGGGAAGGACUGAAAUCCGGCUUUCAUCAAGACCAACGCGUACAUGAGAGGCAAUCACUGGUUGCUUAACAGAAGUGAAAAAGAAUGCACUUUUGGUCCUGGACUGUUCUUUGUAAUUUAAUGUGAUCUGCUGUCAACAAGAGGCGAAAUAAACCUCUGACACUCACUAAAGUUUCACACUAGAGAAGUGAGAAGAUAUCACCUGGGACUUCCUUUCCAUGUACAUUCACCUACUACCAUCGCUACUGAAUCUGAUACUGGCUCACUGAGAUCAUCAUUUGCAACAGAGCAUCUACUUGGUUCCUUCUCAGGUGAUCUCUGUAUUGCUAUUUUCCUGUGUUGACACCUAUUGGAGAAACGAUUUAUACUAGUUUCAGAAACCAUCUCAUUUGAUGAUCUUAUUACUUGCUAUUAUCCCUCACAAAUGUGUUACUUACUGUAUUUCUGCAGUUUCCAUCUAUUAAAACUAAUCAAACAUGCUUCAGUUACUGGCUGUUUCCCCACAUACCCUUUCUAAUGGUGUUUUUGACACUUUUUUGCCUUAGAGAACCUGUAACAUCCUCCUUAGCUUUAAUUCUGGAACCCGUUUCAUCAUUCACACUUGCAUGUUCUCA